rnacentral:rRNA from 1 species
CCUACGGGUGGCUGCAGUGGGGGAUAUUGCACAAUGGGGGAAACCCUGAUGCAGCAACGCCGCGUGUGGGAAGAAGGUUUUCGGAUUGUAAACCACUGUUCGUGGUGAAGAUAAUGACGGUAACCAAGGAGAAAGCUCCGGCUAACUACGUGCCAGCAGCCGCGGUAAUACGUAGGGAGAAAGCGUUGUCCGGAUUUACUUGGUGUAAAGGGUGCGAAGGCGGGCUUGCAAGUCCGACUUGAAAACCACAGGCUCAACCUGGGGCCUGCGUUUGAAACUGUGGGGCUUGGGUGAAGUAGAGUUGGGCGGAAUUCCCGUUGUAGCGUUGAAAUGCUAGAUAUGACGAAGAACCCCGAUUGCGAAGGCAGCUUGCUGCAGCGGAACUGACGCUGAUGCUCGAAAGCGCGGGUAUCGAACAGGAUUAGAUACCCCUGUAGUC